UGGGGAGUAUUGCACAAUGGGGGGAAACCCGUGAUGCAGCGACGCCGCGUGGAGGAAGAAGGUUUUCGGAUUGUAAACUCCUGUCGUUAGGGACGAUAAUGACGGUACCUAACAAGAAAGCACCGGCUAACUACGUGCCAGCAGCCGCGGUAAAACGUAGGGUGCAAGCGUUGUCCGGAAUUACUGGGUGUAAAGGGAGCGCAGGCGGACCGGCAAGUUGGAAGUGAAAACUAUGGGCUCAACCCAUAAAUUGCUUUCAAAACUGCUGGCCUUGAGUAGUGCAGAGGUAGGUGGAAUUCCCGGUGUAGCGGUGGAAUGCGUAGAUAUC
rnacentral:rRNA from 1 species